AUUGAACGCUGGCGGCAGGCCUAACACAUGCAAGUCGAGCGGAUGAAGGGAGCUUGCUCCUGGAUUCAGCGGCGGACGGGUGAGUAAUGCCUAGGAAUCUGCCUGGUAGUGGGGGAUAACGUCCGGAAACGGGCGCUAAUACCGCAUACGUCCUGAGGGAGAAAGUGGGGGAUCUUCGGACCUCACGCUAUCAGAUGAGCCUAGGUCGGAUUAGCUAGUUGGUGGGGUAAAGGCCUACCAAGGCGACGAUCCGUAACUGGUCUGAGAUGAUGAUCAGUCACACUGGAACUGAGACACGGUCCAGACUCCUACGGGAGGCAGCAGUGGGGAAUAUUGGACGAUGGGCGAAAGCCUGAUCCAGCCAUGCCGCGUGUGUGAAGAAGGUCUUCGGAUGGUAAAGCACUUUAAGUUGGGAGGAAGGGCAGUAAGUUAAUACCUUGCUGUUUUGACGUUACCAACAGAAUAAGCACCGGCUAACUUCGU
rnacentral:rRNA from 1 species